rnacentral:rRNA from 1 species
GGAAUUUUCCGCAAUGGGCGAAAGCCUGACGCAGCGACGCCGCGUGGGGGAUGACGGCCUUCGGGUUGUAAACCUCUUUUACCACCAACGCAGGGGUUGACGGUAGGUGGGGAAUAAGGACCGGCUAACUACGUGCCAGCAGCCGCGGUAAUACGUAGGGUCCGAGCGUUGUCCGGAAUUAUUGGGCGUAAAGAGCUCGUAGGCGGCGUGUCGCGUCUGCUGUGAAAGACCGGGGCUUAACUCCGGUUCUGCAGUGGAUACGGGCAUGCUAGAGGUAGGUAGGGGAGACUGGAAUUCCUGGUGUAGCGGUGAAAUGCGCAGAUAUCAGGAGGAACACCGGUGGCGAAGGCGGGUCUCUGGGCCUUACCUGACGCUGAGGAGCGAAAGCAUGGGGAGCGAACAGGAUUAGAUACCCCAGUAGUC